UAAGCAUAUCAAUAAGCGGAGGAAAAGAAACCAACAGGGAUUGCCCUAGUAACGGCGAGUGAAGCGGCAACAGCUCAAAUUUGAAAUCUGGCUCUUUUAGGGUCCGAGUUGUAAUUUGCAGAGGGCGCUUUGGCUUUGGCAGCGGUCCAAGUUCCUUGGAACAGGACGUCACAGAGGGUGAGAAUCCCGUACGUGGUCGCUAGCCAUUGCCGUGUAAAGCCCCUUCGACGAGUCGAGUUGUUUGGGAAUGCAGCUCUAAAUGGGAGGUAAAUUUCUUCUAAAGCUAAAUAUUGGCCAGAGACCGAUAGCGCACAAGUAGAGUGAUCGAAAGAUGAAAAGCACUUUGGAAAGAGAGUCAAACAGCACGUGAAAUUGUUGAAAGGGAAGCGCUUGCAGCCAGACUUGCUUGCAGUUGCUCAUCCGGGCUUUUGCCCGGUGCACUCUUCUGCAGGCAGGCCAGCAUCAGUUUGGGCGGUGGGAUAAAGGUCUCUGUCACGUACCUCCUUUCGGGGAGGCCUUAUAGGGGAGGCGACAUACCACCAGCCUGGACUGAGGUCCGCGCAUUCGCUAGGAUGCUGGCGUAAUGGCUGUAAGCGGCCCGUCUUGAAACACGGGACCAAGGAGUCUAACAUCUAUGCGAGUGUUUGGGUGUCAAGCCCGAACGCGUAAUGAAAGUGAACGGAGGUGGGAACCCGCAAGGGUGCACCAUCGACCGAUCCUGAUGUCUUCGGAAGGAUUUGAGUAAGAGCAUGGCUGUUGGGACCCGAAAGAUGGUGAACUAUGCUUGAAUAGGGUGAAGCCAGAGGAAACUCUGGUGGAGGCUCGCAGCGGUUCUGACGUGCAAAUCGAUCGUCAAAUUUGGGCAUAGGGGCGAAAGACUAAUCGAACUAUCUAGUAGCUGGUUCCUGCCGAAGUUUCCCUCAGGAUAGCAGUAACGUAUUCAGUUUUAUGAGGUAAAGCGAAUGAUUAGAGGCCUGGGGGUUGAAACAACCUUCACCUAUUCUCAAACUUUAAAUAUGUAAGAAGUGCUUGUUGCUUAAUUGAACGUGCACAUUUGAAUGAAACGUUAUUAGUGGGCCAUUUUUGGUAAGCAGAACUGGCGAUGCGGGAUGAACCGAACGAGGGGUUAAGGUGCCGGAAUAUACGCUCAUCAGACACCACAAAAGGUGUUGGUUCAUCUAGACAGCAGGACGGUGGCCAUGGAAGUCGGAAUCCGCUAAGGAGUGUGUAACAACUCACCUGCCGAAUGAACUAGCCCUGAAAAUGGAUGGCGCUCAAGCGUGUUACCUAUACCCCUCCGCCGGGGCAGAAUUUACGCCCCGGCGAGUAGGCAGGCGUGGAGGCUCGUGACGAAGCCCUAGGG
rnacentral:rRNA from 1 species